UGCUCGUUGUAAGACGGAGUUACGAUUUGAAGCCGAUUUUCUUUUCCAGUUGAGUCGCAUUCAAUGUUGCUCUAUUUACAGCCGAUUGAUUCGUUCUUGAUUGUCAUUUUUGCCUCGCCGUGAACCAUUGGGCUCAUAUUUGGGUACAUCUUGAUUCAGUGAGCGAAUCCUUGAUUUUCCAAAAGGUUGAAGUGGACUUGAUUUUCCACUUCUUGGGUAAGUUGUGGAAUUUA